ensembl:misc_RNA Metazoa_SRP Metazoan signal recognition particle RNA
GCUGGGCGUGGUGGUGCACGCCUGUAAUCCCAGUUACUUGGGAGGCUGAGGCAGGAGAAUUGCUUGAACCCGGGAGGCAGAGGUUGCAGUGAGCCAGAAUAACGGCACUGCACUCCAGCCUGGGUGACAGAGUGAGACCCUGUCUCAA